rnacentral:rRNA from 1 species
AGUGAACGCUGGCGGUAGGCCUAACACAUGCAAGUCGAACGGCAGCACAGUAAGAGCUUGCUCUUACGGGUGGCGAGUGGCGGACGGGUGAGGAAUACAUCGGAAUCUACUUUUUCGUGGGGGAUAACGUAGGGAAACUUACGCUAAUACCGCAUACGACCUACGGGUGAAAGCAGGGGAUCUUCGGACCUUGCGCGAUUGAAUGAGCCGAUGUCGGAUUAGCUAGUUGGCGGGGUAAAGGCCCACCAAGGCGACGAUCCGUAGCUGGUCUGAGAGGAUGAUCAGCCACACUGGAACUGAGACACGGUCCAGACCCCUACGGGAGGCAGCAGUGGGCAAUAUUGCACAAUGCGCUCAAGCCUGAUCCAGCCACACCGCGUGGGUGAAGAAGGCCUUCGGGUUGUAAAGCCCUUUUGUUGGGAAAGAAAAGCAGCAGGUUAAUACCCCGCUGUUCUGACGGUACCCAAAGAAUAAGCACCGGCUAACUUCGUG